UAAGUGAAAGCAAAUAAAUUGCACCUAGCUGUUAAUUAGGAGUAAGUCAUAAAGACUCACUUAU
rnacentral:tRNA from 1 species